rnacentral:misc_RNA from 1 species
AACGCAUAUUGCGCUCGAGGCUUCGGCCGAGAGCAUGUCUGCCUCAGCGUCGGGUUAAUAUCACCAAUCCUAACCAGUUUGGUGGACCUGGCUGUUCCAGCGAAAGGCGGUGGGCUGUUAUAGCAAUAUAAUAACCUUCACCAGUAGUCCUGCUGGAUCAGCUGAAGUUCAGAGGCUAACUUAGGACCCUAUAUCAAAGGGCCGCAACUGGGUAGGUGUCUGUGGUAUAACUUAUUAUUAGUUAUGCCACUCAUCACAACGCUUAGUUGUUGGUCUGGGGACUUAAUCGUUCGGCCCUCAAACCAGGAAACAAUGUUAACCCAUUACCUAUUACCUCGACCUGAGCUCAGGCAAGAACACCCGCUGAACUUAA